rnacentral:lncRNA from 1 species
CAGAGACCAGAAUAAUCAGAUCAUUGAAGCCAGGGGUGCCCUGGGGUAAGGGUUCCAGAUAGGAAGGCUACCCCCCUUGGAAAGGGGCUAAUGCCAUCUUGAUACAUGAGUGAGAAGUAGCUUUGGUGCACCAAGUCACAAAAUGAUCCAACCUGAUUCCUUUCUCCUCUCUAGACUCUCCUCGGCUCCUCGCUGGUAAAACACAAACAGCCCUUUGUUCCACAGAGCUCCCUUGCCAUCAUGUCUCAAAGACGCAUUUCCUUGAAGGUACUGAGAUGACAGCUCAUUCAAAAUUACUCCCACUGCUUCCUUUGACACCCAUUCAUAGCUUGGAUGCAGCUGAUGUGGGAGCCUGAUCCAGAGCUCACUGCAGUCAAUGAGAAGACUCUCAGUAAUUAGGCCCUUGGUGCUCUGGAUUUGGUAUGUAAACCUGGCAGACGCUGUGGGGAGAGAAAACAACAACAGAUAAACUCCGC